GAGGGAGUGAAGUGAACACAUCUACCAUUGAAAAUUUAUCUCCAUUUUUUUAAAUACUUUAUUUUUCAAUCUUAGUACUGAUAUUUUACAGGAUGAUAAUAUGAUGGGAGACAAUCCUCUCCCGGAUAUAUAAUAUGAGUAGUUUAAUAUUCAUUUUGUCAUGUAUUUAUUUUCUAUGUCAAUAUAUGAUUAUAGUAAUUUAAAUGGAGGUCAAUUAUGAUCCAUGACCGAUCUUGAGUGAUUUUGUUUGAAUGUCAAAAAUCUAUAUUUUAUAUAUAAAAAUAGAAAAAUGAAAUUGUAUAAGAUAUUCGAGGGGUGUCGUCGCACCUGCCUGCCCGCCCUUUAGAUGGUUUGCCUUUGAUUAUGAUUAUACUGAUUAAAUCAAUUGAACCAUAACAAGACCGACCCAACAUAAUUAGAGGCCUAAAGAAAAUUCUGUUGUGAGACCUUGUAAAACAACAAAAAUUACGCAAAGUUGUAUGAAAAAUAAAUAAAAAUUCUAAAUAUUGCUAAGGUUGAGGAUUAAACUUGAGUCAAGAAGGAUUUCUGAAUCAAAUUCCAUUUUAAUGUAUGAUUCUUGAUUUCCAUAGGCAUUUGAAUGACUAACAUGUGAAUCAUUGUUAACAUGUAAAUCAGCAACAUACUCUGUGUUUCCUUCAAUAUUAAGUUCUCUAUUCUCAUCAACAACUUCCACUAACUCCUAAUAUUUCAAAAAACAUAUACAUGUGUGAAAACAAUGACCAAAAGUUUGUGCAAUAAGAUGAAUUUACUUCUAGAAAGUUCAAAAAGCAGAAUAAAGAAAAAAAACCUAGCAAGAACAAACAUUCAAACAACAGUGUCGAUGCUUCAUAAAAUUGUUCAUAAAAUUACUUUAUUGAGUGGGAUCUAUGACUUCUUUUUGUCAAUGCUUUAACAUUCAAACAUGUGCAGCUGUUAGAACAUGCAAUGGCAGCAAAACUACAGACAAUAAAACCAGAAAAAUAAAGGAGAAAAAUGAAUAGUCAGACUUUAUACGCCAAGACAAAGCUAACAUUUUGGAGGUAGUGGUCACGUUUUUGCUCCUUAAUUUUCCUGCGUCAGUUGGUUAACGGUGGUGAGUUGAUGGCGGCUCCGCCGCUUCACUGGCCUCUUCUUAGCCGAGUGUUGUUUUUCGUUUUUGUUUUUCCUCCUCUCUAGAUCUGCAUUUUUUUCUUUGUUUUCGUUUGUGCGUUUUCUUCCUGGUCUUGUAUUGUUUCUUUUGUUCUGCAUCUGCACCGUCUCUGUU
rnacentral:lncRNA from 1 species